GAUGAACGCUGGCGGCGUGCCUAAUACAUGCAAGUCGAGCGAACGGACGAGAAGCUUGCUUCUCUGAUGUUAGCGGCGGACGGGUGAGUAACACGUGGAUAUCCUACCUAUAAGACUGGGAUAACUUCGGGAAACCGGAGCUAAUACCGGAUAAUAUUUUGAACCGCAUGGUUCAAAAGUGAAAGACGGUCUUGCUGUCACUUAUAGAUGGAUCCGCGCUGCAUUAGCUAGUUGGUAAGGUAACGGCUUACCAAGGCAACGAUGCAUAGCCGACCUGAGAGGGUGAUCGGCCACACUGGAACUGAGACACGGUCCAGACUCCUACGGGAGGCAGCAGUAGGGAAUCUUCCGCAAUGGGCGAAAGCCUGACGGAGCAACGCCGAGUGAGUGAUGAAGGUCUUCGGAUCGUAAAACUCUGUUAUUAGGGAAGAACAUAUGUGUAAGUAACUGUGCACAUCUUGACGGUACCUAAUCAGAAAGCCACGGCUAACUACGUG
rnacentral:rRNA from 1 species